CAGGAACUUGAAAAAAAAAAAAAGUAUUCAGGGUGUGGGCAUUUUUUUUUUUUAAGAGAGAAUUUGUGCGGAAAGGUAGACUAUUACCUAGAAAUUCAGAACACAUCCAGUCAGCUCAGUGGCACAGCAUGUUCUCAUUAACCAAUCUCUCUGCCAGCUUUUUUUAAAUUGUCAUUGCUAUUCUACCCUCUUUGUGUUUUAAAAGUCUUCAGAGGGAGACAUAUUUUUAAUGAUUUGCUUUUCUUUCCUAAGCUUUCCACAAAUUAAACUCUGUAUCCUGUUUGCUUUGCUAUGUUCAAACUUCUCAAGGAUUUUUACAAUGAGAAUCAAAAAGAUUCUUGCUUCAUGGAAAAUACCUUAGAGAUGCAUUUUCUAGGAAGGGUGGUGCAGACAUUUUUAAUAUUCUGUAUUUUAGUUCCUUUAACAGGAAAUGCAUUCAAGCCUGUAUUUUAAAUAUUAAAAUAACCAUUCUUU